CCUACGGGUGGCUGCAGUGGGGAAUAUUGGACAAUGGGGGCAACCCUGAUCCAGCCAUGCCGCGUGUGUGAAGAAGGCCCUCGGGUUGUAAAGCACUUUCAGUGAGGAAGAACGCCUGGUGGUUAAUACCCAUCAGGAAAGACAUCACUCACAGAAGAAGCACCGGCUAACUCCGUGCCAGCAGCCGCGGUAAUACGGAGGGUGCGAGCGUUAAUCGGAAUUACUGGGCGUAAAGCGCGCGUAGGUGGCUUGAUAAGCCGGUUGUGAAAGCCCCGGGCUCAACCUGGGAACGGCAUCCGGAACUGUCAAGCUAGAGUGCAGGAGAGGAAGGCAGAAUUCCCGGUGUAGCGGUGAAAUGCGUAGAGAUCGGGAGGAAUACCAGUGGCGAAGGCGGCCUUCUGGACUGACACUGACACUGAGGUGCGAAAGCGUGGGUAGCAAACAGGAUUAGAUACCCUAGUAGUC
rnacentral:rRNA from 1 species